GAGAGGACCUUUCCCUAGUACGAGAGGACUGGGAAGGAUGCACCUCUGGUGUACCAGUUAUCGUGCCCACGGUAGAUGCUGGGUAGCCAAGUGCAGAGCAGAUAACUAUUGAAAGCAUAUAAGUAGGAAUCCCACCCCAAUAUGAGUGCUCUCCUAUUCUUACUUCCCUAAGAUCCCUAGUCGCGAACACGGCUGGGACAACGACGGGUUCUCUGUCCUUGCAGGGGAUGGAGCGACAAAAGUAUUGAGAAUCCAAGAUAAGGUCACAGUGAGACGAGUCGUUUAUCAUUAUGAUAGGUGUCAAGUGGAAGUGCAGUGAUGUAUGCAGCUGAGGCAUCCUAAUAGACCGAGAUAUUUGAACCU
rnacentral:ncRNA from 1 species